AGUGCCUUAUAACAUGUCUUUAUAACUGGCUGUGUAAGAAUGAAGAAAAGCUGUCCAUCUUCUGAGAAGCCCACUUCUCCACCAAGGUGCUCAGUUUUAGGAGUGGAGAACAGGGGCCACGGAAAAUACAUUGCUCCCCAGCUCCCAGCUCUCUUUACUUUCUCCCAGGAAGCAGCAUGUGCCAUCCUUCUGUCAGAAAACACCAAAGAGAUGAAGAAAUGAGAAAUCCAGAAACCAAAGACCUUGCUCUUUUGUCAAACAGACUUGGUAGAGCAGAGUUGCAAAAUCAGACCUUUGGGGGCUUGCGUGUUUCUCCUCUUACUCCCUGGUAAGCCCUGCCUUGAACUUCAGGCUGCCUGGCUUGGAUCCUGAUGCUGCUUUGCUGACACAAUCCAUUCUCCCAGGGAACACCCAGAGUUCCACUCCAGCCCUGGCAACGCUGCAGCAGAGGCCAACUGUACGGAAAGUCUACAUUGGCUCGGAACAAUUGAGGCUGGGAGAGGCUGGUGAUUUCCUGCUUGGUCGUCUUUUAAAACCCAGCCAUCUGAAUCCGAGAGUUGCUUCUUCAGCAAGGCCUCCCCUGACUCCUUCAGAUGUCUAAGCACCACCCCUACUCUUCUGCUGCAGCAUCUCCACUUGCUUUUGUCCUUCAUCUCCCUGAAAUUAUUUGCUUACUCAUCCAUCCAUGUCAGUUGCAAAAGCAUGACUUCCUCUAGUCCAAAGGCCAUUCAUGUUCAAUAUGUUAGCACUCGGAGCGUCUCCAGUGGUUGUUUCAAACAAGGCAAAUGAGUUCAGUUGAACUUUAUAUGUUCUGCCCUCCGACUGUGACUGUUAUUUACUUCCCUCCAAACAAAAUGUAAUAAUAAAAUGACUAACUGAAAAAAAAAAAAAAAAA
rnacentral:lncRNA from 1 species